AUCACUUCUGAUCCUACAGUCUGCAGUCGCCACUUCAAGAAUGAUGACAACAUAUGGUUCUACACUAGUUUUGUGACUUACAACCAAUGGCCUUUUGGAGACUUAUUGAACCUACAUCCCACAACAUGGUUCAUGUGACCAGAGCAAGGACAACUAUAACGAGGAGUGAAUUUGGAAAACAAGCAAUGCAAUGGUACCCUGAGGACAAGAGCACAGCAUCUGCUCAGACACCAACAUCUGAAGACCUGGUGGAGGUCUACCUCUUCUAACUUUAGUACAUGACAUUUUUUGUUUCAUCUGGGAAGAAUCAGUAGAGGGGAAGAAA